rnacentral:rRNA from 1 species
UACGUAGGGUGCGAGCGUUGCCCGGAUUUAUUGGGCGUAAAGGGCGCGUAGGCGGCCACGCACGUCCGUUGUGAAAUCGCUCGGCUCAACUGGGCGGGGUCAGCGGAUACGGUGUGGCUAGAGCAAGCUAGGGGGCAAUGGAAUUCCCGGUGUAGUGGUGGAAUGCGCAGAUAUCAGGAGGAACACCGGUGGCGAAGGCGGGACUCUGGGCCGAUACUGACGUGAGGAGCGAAAAGCGUGGGGAGCAAACAGG